rnacentral:rRNA from 1 species
UACAGAGGUCCCGAGCGUUGUUCGGAUUCACUGGGCGUAAAGGGUGCGUAGGCGGCGCGGUAAGUCGGAUGUGAAAUCUCGGAGCUUAACUUCGAAACUGCAUUCGAUACUGCCGUGCUUGAGGACUGGAGAGGAGACUGGAAUUUACGGUGUAGCGGUGAAAUGCGUAGAUAUCGUAAGGAAGACCAGUGGCGAAGGCGGGUCUCUGGACAGUUUCCUGACGCUGAGGCACGAAGGUCAGGGAGCAAACGGG